rnacentral:rRNA from 1 species
UACGGGGGGGGCAAGCGUUGUUCGGAAUUACUGGGCGUAAAGGGCUCGUAGGUGGCCAACUAAGUCGGACGUGAAAUCCCUCGGCUUAACCGGGGAACUGCGUCUGAUACUGGAUGGCUUGAGUUUGGGAGAGGGAUGCGGAAUUCCGGGUGUAGCGGUGAAAUGCGUAGAUAUCCGGAGGAACACCGGUGGCGAAGGCGGCUUCCUGGACCGACACUGACGCUGAGGCGCGAAAGCUAGGGGAGCAAACGGG